rnacentral:lncRNA from 1 species
AGUGGGGCGGUGGGUUCUGCUAGUCUCUGCUGGACGGUGAGGGGGUGAGGGUGGUGUGAGCCUGUGCGGUGCCCAUAGUCUGUGCUGCCUCAUGUGUGUUGUGUGGUGGCUGUGCAUGCAUGUCAUACACACCCCCCUGAGCACCAGGUCCUACACCCUCCCUCUGUGCCUAACAACCUAGCAAAGUCAAGUCCUCACUGGAUAAUCUGCUUGGGCUUCCUAUCCUAUCCCUGCUCCUUCAUCAAGACCCCAAGCCUCCUCGUUGGUGGGUCAACUCACCAGCACAUUCCUGCCUCAGGGCCUUUGCAUUGCACUUCUCUCCCUGGAAUCCUCUUGCAGUGGAUUCCCUCUCCUUCAAGUUGACUCUAGCACGUCAGUGAGGCCUGCCUUGACCUCUAUUAAGGAUUUUUUUGUUGUUGUUUUGAGACAGGAAUGGGGUUUAUUACAUAACCCAGGCUGGUUUUGAACUCCUGGGCCCAAGCGAUCUUCCUGCCUUAACCUCCAGGGUAGCUGGAAUUUCAGGCAUGUACCAUUGUACCUGGUGCUUGGUUUUUUUGUUUUUGUCUUUUUUGGUUUUGAAAAUCAAACCCAGGGUCCUACAUAUAUUAAGCGCAUCUCUACCACUGAGCCACACCACCAGCCCUCCAAUUUAAAUAACCUUAUCAUCACUUGAACAUAAUAAACAUGUUACAUCUAAUUAUAAACCCAAAUGAUGUUCACAGGAUGACUACCCAAUGAGGGUUUUCAAUAAAUUGACAAUUCUCAAUAUGCCAGUCGUUUUUUCUUUUCUUUUGCAGUGCUGGGUAUUGAACCCAGGGGCUCAUUACCUCUGAGCCACAUCCCCAGCCCUUUUUAUUUCUUUAUUUUUUUGAGACAGGGUCUCACUAAAUUGCCCAGGCUGGCUUUGAACUUGUGAUCCUUCUGCCUCAGCCUCCUGAGUAACGUGUUGAUCUACCAUGUCAUUUUUUAUGCUCUCUCUCAGGGAUCAGCAUAGGGUUCUUGGGUCGAACUGCAGAGCUUGGCCCACACAAGAUGCUCAGCCUGUGUUGCACUGUCUGCGCUGCAUCACCCACUGCCUGUGGUGUCUCCUAGGUGUGGGUUUUGCACUCUGGCCUUGUCUCCUGGGUGCUGGGAUGUUAUUCCCUCACCUGUGAUGUCACGUUGACACCACCCAGUGGAGCCAGCUGUACCUGUCUUGCACAUAUGCUCAUGAACUGAC